GCAUAUCAAUAAGCGGAGGAAAAGAAACCAACAGGGAUUGCCUCAGUAACGGCGAGUGAAGCGGCAACAGCUCAAAUUUGAAAUCUGGCUUCGGCCCGAGUUGUAAUUUGUAGAGGAAGAUUCUGGUAAGGCACCAUCUGAGUCCCCUGGAACGGGGCGCCAUAGAGGGUGAGAGCCCCGUAUAGUUGGAUGCCGAGCCUCUGUGAAUCUCCUUCGACGAGUCGAGUAGUUUGGGAAUGCUGCUCUAAAUGGGAGGUAAAUUUCUUCUAAAGCUAAAUAUAGGCCAGAGACCGAUAGCGCACAAGUAGAGUGAUCGAAAGAUGAAAAGCACUUUGAAAAGAGGGUUAAACAGCACGUGAAAUUGUUGAAAGGGAAGCGCUUAUGACCAGACUUGCGCCGUGCGGAUCAUCCGGUGUUCUCACCGGUGCACUCCGCGCGGCUCAGGCCAGCAUCGGUUCUCGUGGGGGGAUAAAGGCUCAGGGAACGUAGCUCCUCCGGGAGUGUUAUAGCCCUGGGUGCAAUGCCCUCGUGGGGACCGAGGUUCGCGCUUCUGCAAGGAUG
rnacentral:rRNA from 1 species